rnacentral:rRNA from 1 species
AGAGUUUGAUCCUGGCUCAGGAUGCUUUCUAGCGGCAGGCUUAACACAUGCAAGUUGAGGGGCAGCGGGGAGGAAGCUUGCUUUCUCCGCCGGCGACCGGCGCACGGGUGAGUAACACGUAUGCAACCUGCCCCUGUCAGGGGGACAACCCGCCGAAAGGCGGGCUAAACCCGCGUACAUGCCACCGGGGCAUCCCGGAGGCAGGAAAGGCUUCGGCCGGACAGGGAUGGGCAUGCGGCGCAUUAGGCAGUAGGCGGGGUAACGGCCCACCUAACCGACGAUGCGUAGGGGUUCUGAGAGGAAGGUCCCCCACACUGGUACUGAGACACGGACCAGACUCCUACGGGAGGCAGCAGUGAGGAAUAUUGGUCAAUGGUCGGGAGACUGAACCAGCCAAGCCGCGUGAGGGAGGAAGGUACAGAGUAUCGUAAACCUCUUUUGUCAGGGAACAAAGGCGGGGACGUGUCCCCGGAUGAGUGUACCUGAAGAAAAAGCAUCGGCUAACUCCGUGCCAGCAGCCGCGGUAAUACGGAGGAUGCGAGCGUUAUCCGGAUUUAUUGGGUUUAAAGGGUGCGCAGGCGGAGGUGCAAGUCAGCGGUCAAAUUGCGGGGCUCAACCCCGUACUGCCGUUGAAACUGCAUCCCUUGAGUGCGCGAGAAGUAUGCGGAAUGCGUGGUGUAGCGGUGAAAUGCAUAGAUAUCACGCAGAACUCCGAUUGCGAAGGCAGCAUACCGGCGCGCAACUGACGCUCAUGCACGAAAGCGUGGGUAUCGAACAGGAUUAGAUACCCUGGUAGUCCACACAGUAAACGAUGAAUACUAAUUGUUCGGGGAGAAUGAUCCCUGAGUGAUACAGCGAAAGCGUUAAGUAUUCCACCUGGGGAGUACGCCGGCAACGGUGAAACUCAAAGGAAUUGACGGGGGCCCGCACAAGCGGAGGAACAUGUGGUUUAAUUCGAUGAUACGCGAGGAACCUUACCCGGGCUCAAACGACACAGGAACGGUCCUGAAAGGGGUCGGCUCUACGGAGCCUGUGUCGAGGUGCUGCAUGGUUGUCGUCAGCUCGUGCCGUGAGGUGUCGGCUUAAGUGCCAUAACGAGCGCAACCCCCAUCGACAGUUGCUAACAGGUUAGGCUGAGGACUCUGUCGAGACUGCCGGCGCAAGCUGCGAGGAAGGCGGGGAUGACGUCAAAUCAGCACGGCCCUUACGUCCGGGGCGACACACGUGUUACAAUGGCAGGUACAGCGGGAAGCCACCUGGCGACAGGGAGCGGAACCCGAAAGCCUGUCUCAGUUCGGAUUGGAGUCUGCAACCCGACUCCAUGAAGCUGGAUUCGCUAGUAAUCGCGCAUCAGCCACGGCGCGGUGAAUACGUUCCCGGGCCUUGUACACACCGCCCGUCA